rnacentral:rRNA from 1 species
UACGUAGGGGGCGAGCGUUGUCCGGAUUUAUUGGGCGUAAAGAGCGUGUAGGCGGCCAGGUAGGUCCGCUGUGAAAACUCGAGGCUCAACCUCGAGAUGUCGGUGGAAACCAUCUGGCUAGAGUCCGGAAGAGGAGAGUGGAAUUCCCGGUGUAGCGGUGAAAUGCGCAGAUAUCGGGAAGAAUAUCCGUGGCGAAGGCGGCUCUCUGGGACGGUACUGACGCUGAGACGCGAAAGCGUGGGGAGCAAACAGG